UUCCAGACUCCUACGGGAGGCAGCAGUGAGGAAUAUUGGUCAAUGGCCGCAGGGCUGAACCAGCCAAGUCGCGUGAGGGAUGACGGUCCUAUGGAUUGUAAAACUCUUUUGUCAGGGAGCAAAGGGCGCCACGUGUGGCGCUUUGCGAGUACCUGAAGAAAAAGCAUCGGCUAACUCCGUGCCAGCAGCCGCGGUAAUACGGAGGAUGCGAGCGUUAUCCGGAUUUAUUGGGUUUAAAGGGUGCGUAGGCGGUCCGUUAAGUCAGCGGUAAAAUUGCAGGGCUCAACCCCGUCGAGCCGUUGAAACUGGCAGACUUGAGUUGGCGAGAAGUACGCGGAAUGCGCGGUGUAGCGGUGAAAUGCAUAGAUAUCGCGCAGAACUCCGAUUGCGAAGGCAGCGUACCGGCGCCAGACUGACGCUGAGGCACGAAAGCGUGGGGAUCGAACAGGAUUAGAUACCCCGGUAA
rnacentral:rRNA from 1 species